GGGGGGGCGCGUCCCGAGACACGCGGCGUCAGGUCCGGGUGCCCGCGGCAAAAACCCGCCGCCCGGGACCCGGGCAUCUCGCCAAGCAGGCGGCGGUACGGGGCUGGGCGAGAGAACUCAGAAUUGAGGCCUCGCACCAUCCGUGCGGGGGUCGCGUCCUCAGCCCCAACCGCGGCACCCACGAGGGACAGAGGGCUACGCGCCGCGCAGGACGUGCGCGCCAAGUUCCUUCGCGCCGAGGAAGGCGGGUCUGAUCUCCCUGCUCCUCGGGGGGGUGGGGGUAUGCGCUCCCUUAGGGUGCAGGGAACCCCUGGGGCCCUUCAGCCCACUCCCCGGGCCACUUUGAUCGCGCCGAAGCCAACGGUCCCGACAGCCGGGUAAGGAGAAACUCGCACUGGGGAGGACCGCGGGGCGCCCCGGCUUCCCGGCCUCGAUCCCUGCCCUCCCAGCCUGAAAGACCCCCGGGGGCUACGAGGGACGUGAGGAGAGACCGCAGCGCCCUUCCCGCCAGAAACCGCCUCCCCUUCCCCAUCCCCGGCGCCCACCUGGGAUGUAGACGUCCGCGCGGUUCUCAUCCGGGAGUGCAGUCCAGGUGUCUUAAAUCGAGGAUGAGACCACGCCGGGGGAAAAAGUUUCCUAAGGUGGAAUAGAAAAGGCACCAGGAAACUUGGGAACGAGCAUGCGCCCUGCAACAUAACGGUGUCAACAAGCUCGCUACCUGUCCGACCGGUUCCGGCAGCCGCUCGGCCUGUCCCAGCCCUUCCCGCGGCAUGAAUGUUUGCAAAAUAAUUUAACGUCUCAGCCCACCCUCCUCUUUUUUAAAAAAGGAGAACAUUUUUUAAUCGACCCACGCCCCCUUCCCCCAUCCCAAGAACCUCUGGACCAACUCUAAGACAAGCAAGCCAGAAAAAGGCCGGAUUCCUCCUCGGGUCGUUCCCUGGGACUGCUGAAAUCUCGGUUGUUCGAAGACGAAGUUGCCAGGAACCUCCUAAGGACUCUUAGCUGGUAAUUUGGGGACUUAAGCUCCCUAUCAUCUGCAUCAGCCCCUAAGUCAAUCAGUAAAUUUAUUAAUAAAUUUUAAAAAUUUUGA